CCACAACCCAUUCUUUACCAUUUUAGCUCAACAAUUUUCCUACAUCUCUUGAUAACACAUGCAUGCAAAAUAAACAACUCCUAUACCCAAAAAUUAUCUUACCAAUUAUCCAUUCCUAGUUAAAUUUCGAAAUUGAGGUUUAGGGUGUAGAAUUUUACCUUUAGGAUGGAAGACCUAAUGUGCUUUCCUUGAUAAUCUUCCAAGAUUCGAGCAAGAAUUGAAGAACAAAUUGUUGAAGAACUCUCUCUCACUUUAGGGCAUUCUCUAACCCUCAAAAUAUCAGGUUUUUGCUCAAAAGAUGGCACAUAUAGUCUAUUUAGCGAAGUAGGGUCGGGUUAUAAAAAUUCAAAAAAUGAAGCUCCGGAACAGGAUCUGCGGUCGCAUAUGCGACCGCAUAAUUGCUCUCCGGAACUGGGCAAAACUGACCCAGUCUGCGGUCAUUAUGUGGCCCGCAGACCUGUUCUGCGGUCGCAUAAUGCAUCGCAGAACUGGUUUGCAAUCGCAUAAUGCACCACAAAUCUGCUCUCCAAACUUGCCUAAGUUGCUUCACUCUGCGGCCAUUAUGUGGUCCGUAGAGUGAUUAUGCGACCGCUUAGUGGGCUGCAGAGAUGUAUUUUUCUGCCCAAAAUUUUCCUUUAAGCCUACUUCGGCACCACGAAACCUUAAAUUCCUUUACAAAUUUUACGGGGCCUUACAUAAACCAAAUUUAAGGCAAGUGUUAUAAGUGUUUGAUUUAUAAAUACAGGGGCUGUGUCCGAAACUGAGUGAUAUUAUAGGGGCGUUCAGUGUAUAACUUAUCCAAUUAUUUAAUUGGGUUGGAUACAGAGAGUGAUAUGUGAAGUAUAACUUUCAAGGAAAGAGCUCUUUUAUUGUAAUACCAUCACUCCGUCAGUGAGAAGACAAUGCUAGAGGUUCUCUCUUUUUACUUGCCUUAUGAAAAAUGCUAGAGGUUCUCUCUUUCUGAAUAUAAGGCCUUGAAGAUUGAAUUGCUUCAACUUGCUCUGGAAAACCAUUCAUGAUCUCUUUCAUGGUUUUAAGAAAUGUAUUAGUUAACCAGUUCUUUUGCACGUGCUUCAUUAAAAGUAAUUGUUUCUGAGGCGUAGUUGUUGUUGUUGACAAUACAGGUUCCUUGUAUUUUGGGCGUUAAUCUAACUGAUGUGGAUCUGUUAGAAUUUCUUCAACAGCUUGCUGAUACAGAUGGAUCAUCUAUAAUACCCCCAUCAGUGAAUCGGGUCCUGAACAGCAAGGCUUGCAGGAGUGCAAUUAUGUUUGGAGAUGCAUUGUUACCUUCAGAAUGUUCUCUCAUUGUUGAGGAGUUGAAGCAGACUUCGUUGUGUUUUCAAUGUGCUCAUGGGCGACCAACAACCGUCCCUCUUGUCAACUUGGAUGCUCUGCAUGAGCAGAUUGCCAAGUUAGGUUCGUGUGGUAGGGGUUCAUCUGAGGCAUGGCAUGAGUUACAUCGGCAUGAAAUCAGCUUAGAGCGUGCAGCGAAGCGACUAAGAACAGCCGUAUCCUAGUGUCAAAAGGCUCUCGUGAAAAUACCUAAUUUGGUUCUGGAUACCUAUCAAGCAAUAAUUUUGCGUUGAAGAUAUCCAGUCUGCACCCAUCACAAUGGAGGAUGAUCCGGAUCUGGAGGGCGGUGUAUUAAUACUGAUCGAUAUAUGAAGGUAUCUAAUGAUAACUCUAUGAAUGUACAUACUAAAUUUGUAACACUGGUCCCAUUGGCAGCUCUCUCUAUCUCACACACACACACAUACACACACUGGAACAAAACUAGGAAAAGGAAUGGAUUGUACAGUUUCCAUGUAAAACCAGAGUAACCCCAUUUGUCAUGUGUACAGAACGUGAAGAAAUGAUAUCCCAUUGCUCGCAUGGUUAAGUUUGUAUGUUCCAUUUCCAUCCCAACCCUCCCCUAUUAACCGGUAUUACAAAUCUCCUGAACAUAUAAAACUUCCAUUCACAUCUGUUUUACUGCUCCUCACCCUAGUUACACUGGAGCCAGCCAGCUACGCUCCUACAACUCGAGCUGCUAAAUAGUUGCAUGAAUCAGAUGUUUUUAGUCUGUUGAGUAAUUCUUAUGAUUUAUGUCAUCAAAGGCUGAAACUCAUCCUGAGUGAAUUCUUUUUUGCUUUUAGUAAAUUAAGAUAGUGCCCGGCGUGUAUUUCGACUAAAA